rnacentral:rRNA from 1 species
AAACGUAGGAGGCGAGCGUUAUCCGGAUUUAUUGGGCGUAAAGCGCGUGCAGGUGGUAUCGUAAGUCGGAUGUGAAAGCCUCUGGCUUAACUAGAGGAUGUCGUUCGAUACUGCGGAACUUGAGGUCGGGAGAGGGAAGCGGAAUUCCCGGUGUAGUGGUGGAAUGCGUAGAUAUCGGGAGGAACACCAGUGGCGAAGGCGGCUUCCUGGCCCGCACCUGACACUAAGACGCGAAAGCGUGGGGAGC